rnacentral:lncRNA from 1 species
UGACAACAAGCUAUAGCCGAUGUGAUGCGGGACAACCCUAAAAAAGAGAGAAAAAAAAUCAAUCUUAAUAAUCAAGCUCCUUUUUGUUCAUCAACAACAAAUCAUGUCCGAUCAGGGGUAUCAUUAUUUUCAGGACAGACAGUAUAGUUGCCUAUACUCUGCUCAGGAGGCGUGAUUGAUUGAUAAGAGAGCAAAGCGAGAUCAAUCUAAAUGAUGCAGAUGAAUGUCAUUCUAGAGAUCAAUAAACAACUAGCAAUAGGAA